rnacentral:misc_RNA from 1 species
UUUCCGUAGGUGAACCUGCGGAAGGAUCAUUCAUAAUAUUUUGUUUUAUGGCCCUUUUUAAAAAUCUAUAUCCACCUUGUGUGCAAUUUUAGAUCUCUUCUAUUUUGGCGACAUUUUUAUACAACUAGUCAGUCGGUAACUAAUUUGUCUGAAAAUUAUUAUUAAUACUUAAUUGUAAAUAUAACUUUCAACAACGUAUAUCUUGCCUAUCGCAUCGAUGACUAACGCAGCAGAUCGGAUGAGCACACGCCUGAACUCCAAACACAAUUCGUCGGAUCG